UUCUCUUUAUGUUGUGUGCAUUUCAACUGUGGUAAUUUGGAGUGUGCUUGUUUAUUUAGCUCCAUAUGCUUGGCAAGUUAUGAAAGAACUAAAUAUAUUCUUCAAAAUCAAGAUCUGGGCAUGCUUCUUUUGCUUGUAUCAGCACACAUUUGUUCUAAUUAUAUUUUGUUGUGCUUUCUACUGCUUUUAGUUGGAAGAUGCAGUUUAAUUUCAUAGAAAGUAAGCACAGUUAAGCAUGUUAACCUCUUCUUUUUCUUAGAUGCAUCUUACAUCACUACAAAAAUGUGAUAUGGUGUCCGUGUUGCUUUGUUCUUUCAUUCUCUGUCAAUUUUGGUAUAUUGCAAAGCUACUAAUUCUUUGGCGUAGCUCCUGAGAUGAGACUUUUGUUCUUUAGUUUCUUAAUAUGUUUGGGAGCACCCAGCUCUGAUGCCUCAUUUAUCUUUCACGUCAUCCUAUGUUAUGGUGGUUAAAUCUGUAGCUGAUCAGUUUGACAGUCAAUGUAAAAUGCUACAUUGCAGGGGUGGAGCCAACCUGAUGAUAGAGCCUAAGUAAAAAUAAAUAAAGUCUGACUUACGUUUGCCCAUGGAAAUAGAGGAUUAGUUCGUUUCCCUUCAAGAAUCAAUAGUUGCAAUACCUUGAAGAAUAAUGAAGAAAUUAUGAUGUGUACGGAUUAGUGAAAGGCAAUGGAACCUGUGAUGGCUUGCUGAGAGCAGGAGAAAAACAUUUAUAGAGCCCCUUACAGGUGGCUGUAUGAUUAUACUUUUGCUUGGAUACUAUAUGAAGAAACUUAAAAAUGCGUUGAGAAAAUCCUCUUGACCCACUAAAUAUCCAAGGGUUCCUUAUUUAAAGUCCAUGGCUACUGAUCUGGUGAAACUGAUAUUGGUAGCAAGUUGAACUGUACCUCAUGGAUGACAAGAUAUAGUUAUGUCGCUUCAGGUUGUAGGAUAAGGUCAUUUGCCCAUUUCACUUCCAAACUAAAAACGUUGAAUACAAUUUAAUUGGUUCAUUCCUGAGUAUGUGCUUUCUUCCCAUCUAUUAUUAGAUUGUACGCCUUUUAAUUUGAAUCCUCUUUGAUGUGUGCAUACAUGAAAUAUUUUCAAUCGCUUCGUACUUCAGAAAGCAGAUCCCCUCUUGAUGUAUUGCCGUGGGACUAAUCAAGGACCUGAUCGAGGGUGGCAUUAAGGUGUGUGAGCAAUUAAUUAUAAGGUGUUAGCUUGGAAUGGCAAAUGUAGUUUUCGAUUCCUAAAUGUACAUUUCGAUUCCUAAAUGUAGAUUUCCAACAUUCAUGAAUGUUGAUUUCCGUUCAUUUCCGUUGUCUUCAAGAGCCUUGAAUUCCAGCAAGUUCAUUUCCAACAACAAAUGUUGAUUUCAAUAUCUAAAUAUGAUAAGAAACUGAAUAUAUACUACAUUUCCGUUCUGUAUUAUGUGACUAUUUGCGCCAGUGUUGUACAUAUUAGCAGCUACAAUCAAGACAUAAUUGAACACAUGUUAUCUGAUUCUUUAUGA